rnacentral:rRNA from 1 species
UACGAAGGGGGCUAGCGUUGCUCGGAAUUACUGGGCGUAAAGCGCACGUAGGCGGCUUUCUAAGUCGGAGGUGAAAUCCUGGAGCUCAACUCCAGAACUGCCUUUGAUACUGAGGGUCUUGAGUUCGGGAGAGGUGAGUGGAACUGCGGAGUGUAGAGGUGAAAUUCGUAGAUAUUCGCAAGAACACCAGUGGCGAAGGCGGCUCACUGGCCCGAUACUGACGCUGAGGUGCGAAAGCGUGGGGAGCAAACAGG